rnacentral:lncRNA from 1 species
AGCCUAUGGUCGAUGAUCAAUGGCCACACAACCCCCAUUUUGUCGAAAAUAGCCAUGAAUGACCAUUUACAAUAAUACCGAAGGCUAACACCUACGGAUUUUUGACCAAGAAAUGGUCUCCACCAGAAAUCCAAGAAUGUGAUCUAUGGCAAGGAAACAUAUGUGGGGUGAUGUGUAUGAGCCUCUGGUCGAUGAUCAAUGGCCACACAACCCCCAUUUUUGUCGAAAAUAGCCAUGAACGACCAUUUUCAAUAAUAUCGAAGGCUAACACCUACGGAUUUUUGACCAAGAAAUGGUCUCCACCAGAAAUCCAAGAAUGUGAUCUAUGACAAGGAAACAUUUGUGGGGUGAGGUGUAUGAGCCUCUGGUCGACGAUCAAUGGCCACACAACCCCCAUUUUGCCGAAAAUAGCCAUGAAUGACCAUUUUCAAUAAUACCGAAGGCUAACACGUACGAGUUUUUAACCAAGAAAUGGCUUCCACCAGAAAUCCAAGAAUGUAAUCUAUGGCAAGGAAACAUAUGUGGGGUGAGGUUUAUGAGCCUCUAGUCGAUGAUAAAUGGCCACACAACCCCCAUUUUUUAUGAAAAUAGCCAUGAGCGACCUUGAAAAUAGCCAUGAGCGACCAUUUUCAAUAAUACUAGAGGCUAACACCUACGGAUUUUAGACCAAGAAAUGGUCUCCACCAGAAAUCCAAGAAUGUGAUCUACGACAAGGAAACAUAUGUGGGGUGAGGUGUAUGAGCCUCUGGUCGACGAUCAAUGGCCACACAACCCCCAUUUUGCCGAAAAUAGCCAUGAAUGACCAUUUUCAAUAAUACCGAAGGCUAACACGUACGAGUUUUUAACCAAGAAAUGGCUUCCACCAGAAAUCCAAGAAUGUAAUCUAUGGCAAGGAAACAUAUGUGGGGUGAGGUUUAUGAGCCUCUAGUCGAUGAUAAAUGGCCACACAACCCCCAUUUUUUAUGAAAAUAGCCAUGAGCGACCUUGAAAAUAGCCAUGAGCGACCAUUUUCAAUAAUACUAGAGGCUAACACCUACGGAUUUUAGACCAAGAAAUGGUCUCCACCAGAAAUCCAAGAAUGUGAUCUAUGGCAAGGAAACAUAUGUGGGGUGAGGUGUAUGAGCGUCUGGUCGAUGAUCAAUGGACACACAACCCCCAUUUUUGUCGAAAAUAGCCAUGAACGACCAUUUUCAAUAAUACCGAAGGCUAACACCUACGGAUUUUUGACCAAGAAAUGGUCUCCACCAAUAAUCCAAGAAUGUGAUUUAUGGCAAAGAAACAUAUGUGGGGUGAGGUGUAUGAGCCUCUUGUCGACGAUCAAUGGCCACACAACCCUAAUUUUUGUCGAAAAUAGCCAUGAACGACCAUUUUCAAUGACACUGAAGGCUAACACCUACGGAUUUUUGACCAAGAAAUGGUCUCCACCAUAAAUCCAAGAAUGUGAUCUAUGGCAAGGAAACAUAUGUGUAGUGAGGUGUAUGAGCCUCUGGUCGAAGAUCAAUGGCCACACAACCCCCAUUUUUGUCGAAAAUAGCCAUGAAUGACCAUUUUCAAAAAUACCAAAGGCUAACACGUACGGAUUUUUGACCAAGAAAUGGUCUCCACCAGAAAUCCAAGAAUGUGAUCUAUGUCAAGGAAACAUAUGUGGGGUGAGGUGUACGAGCCUCUGGUCGAUGAUCAAUGGCCACACAACCCCCAUUUUGCCGAAAAUAGCCAUGAACGACCAUUUUCAAUAAUACCGAAGGCUAACACGUACGAGUUUUUAACCAAGAAAUGGUCUCCACCAGAAAUCCAAGAAUGUGAUCUAUGGCAAUGAAACAUAUGUGGGGUGAGGUUUAUGAGCCUCUAGUCGAUGAUAAAUGGCCACACAACCCCCAUUUUUUAUGAAAAUAGCCAUGAGCGACCUUCAAAAUAGCCAUGAGCGACCAUUUUCAAUAAUACUAGAGGCUAACACCUACGGAUUUUAGACCAAGAAAUGGUCUCCACCAGAAAUCCAAGAAUGUGAUCUAUGGCAAGGAAACAUAUGUGGGGUGAGGUGUAUGAGCGUCUGGUCGAUGAUCAAUGGCCACACAACCCCCAUUUUUGUCGAAAAUAGCCAUGAACGACCAUUUUCAAUAAUACCUAGGCUAACACCUACGGAUUUUUGACCAAGAAAUGGUCUCCACCAGAAAUCCAAGAAUGUGAUCUAUGGCAAGGAAACAUAUGUGGGGUGAGGUGUAUGAGCCUCUGGUCGACGAUCAAUGGCCACACAACCCUAAUUUUUGUCGAAAAUAGCCAUGAACGACCAUUUUCAAUGACACUGAAGGCUAACACCUACGGAUUUUUGACCAAGAAAUGGUCUCCACCAUAAAUCCAAGAAUGUGAUCUAUGGCAAGGAAACAUAUGUGUAGUGAGGUGUAUGAGCCUCUGGUCGAAGAUCAAUGGCCACACAACCCCCAUUUUUGUCGAAAAUAGCCAUGAAUGACCAUUUUCAAAAAUACCAAAGGCUAACACAUUCGAUUUUUGCCCAAGAAAUGGUCUCCACCAGAAAUCCAAGAAUGUGAUCUAUGGCAAGGAAACAUAUGUGGGGUGAGGUGUACGAGCCUCUGGUCGAUGAUCAAUGGCCACAGAACCCCCAUUUUGCCGAAAAUAGCCAUGAACGACCAUUUUCAAUAAUACCGAAGGCUAACACGUACGAGUUUUUGACCAAGAAAUGGUCUCCACCAAAAAUCCAAGAAUGUGAUCUAUGGCAAGGAAACAUAUGUGGGGUGAGAUUUAUGAGCCUCUAGUCGAUGAUAAAUGGCCACACAACCCCCAUUUUUUUAUGAAAAUAGCCAUGAGCGACCAUUUUCAAUAAUAUUAGAGGCUAAGACCUACGGAUUUUUGACCAAGAAAUGGUCUCCACCAGAAAUCCAAGAAUGUGAUCUAUGGCAAGGAAACAUAUGUGGGGUGAGGUGUAUGAGCCUCUGGUCGAUGAUCAAUGGCCACACAACCCCCAUUUUUGUCGAAAAUAGCCAUGAAUGACCAUUUACAAUAAUACCGAAGGCUAACACCUACGGAUUUUUUACCAAGAAAUGGUCUCCACCAGAAAUCCAAGAAUGUGAUCUAUGGCAAGGAAACAUAUGUGGGGUGAGGUGUAUGAGCCUCUGGUCGAUGAUCAAUGGCCACACAACCCCAUUUUUGUCAAAAUAGCCAUGAACGACCAUUUUCAAUAAUAUCGAAGGCUAACACCUACGGAUUUUUGACCAAGAAAUGGUCUCCACCAGAAAUCCAAGAAUGUGAUCUACGACAAGGAAACAUAUGUGGGGUGAGGUGUAUGAGCCUCUGGUCGACGAUCAAUGGCCACACAACCCCCAUUUUGCCGAAAAUAGCCAUGAAUGACCAUUUUCAAUAAUACCGAAGGCUAACACGUACGAGUUUUUAACCAAGAAAUGGUUUCCACCAGAAAUCCAAGAAUGUAAUCUAUGGCAAGGAAACAUAUGUGGGGUGAGGUUUAUGAGCCUCUAGUCGAUGAUAAAUGGCCACACAACCCCCAUUUUUUAUGAAAAUAGCCAUGAGCGACCUUGAAAAUAGCCAUGAGCGACCAUUUUCAAUAAUAUUAGAGGCUAAGACCUACGGAUUUUUGACCAAGAAAUGGUCUCCACCAGAAAUCCAAGAAUGUGAUCUAUGGCAAGGAAACAUAUGUGGGGUGAGGUGUAUGAGCCUCUGGUCGAUGAUCAAUGGCCACACAACCCCCAUUUUUGUCGAAAAUAGCCAUGAAUGACCAUUUACAAUAAUACCGAAGGCUAACACCUACGGAUUUUUGACCAAGAAAUGGUCUCCACCAGAAAUCCAAGAAUGUGAUCUAUGGCAAGGAAACAUAUGUGGGGUGAGGUGUAUGAGCCUCUGGUCGAUAAUCAAUGGCCACACAACCCCCAUUUUUGUCGAAAAUAGCCAUGAACGACCAUUUUCAAUAAUAUCGAAGGCUAACACCUAUGGAUUUUUGACCAAGAAAUGGUCUCCACCAGAAAUCCAAGAAUGUGAUCUACGACAAGGAAACAUAUGUGGGGUGAGGUGUAUGAGCCUCUGGUCGACGAUCAAUGGCCACACAACCCCCAUUUUGCCGAAAAUAGCCAUGAAUGACCAUUUUCAAUAAUACCGAAGGCUAACACGUACGAGUUUUUAACCAAGAAAUGGUUUCCACCAGAAAUCCAAGAAUGUAAUCUAUGGCAAGGAAACAUAUGUGGGGUGAGGUUUAUGAGCCUCUAGUCGAUGAUAAAUGGCCACACAACCCCCAUUUUUUAUGAAAAUAGCCAUGAGCGACCUUGAAAAUAGCCAUGAGCGACCAUUUUCAAUAAUACUAGAGGCUAACACCUACGGAUUUUAGACCAAGAAAUGGUCUCCACCAGAAAUCCAAGAAUGUGAUCUAUGGCAAGGAAACAUAUGUGGGGUGAGGUGUAUGAGCGUCUGGUCGAUGAUCAAUGGCCACACAACCCCCAUUUUUGUCGAAAAUAGCCAUGAACGACCAUUUUCAAUAAUACCGAAGGCUAACACCUACGGAAUUUUGACCAAGAAAUGGUCUCCACCAGAAAUCCAAGAAUGUGAUCUAUGGCAAGGAAACAUAUGUGGGGUGAGGUGUAUGAGCCUCUGGUCGACGAUCAAUGGCCACACAACCCCCAUUUUUUAUGAAAAUAGCCAUGAGCGACCUUGAAAAUAGCCAUGAGCGACCAUUUUCAAUAAUACUAGAGGCUAACACCUACGGAUUUUAGACCAAGAAAUGGUCUCCACCAGAAAUCCAAGAAUGUGAUCUAUGGCAAGGAAACAUAUGUGGGGUGAGGUGUAUGAGCGUCUGGUCGAUGAUCAAUGGCCACACAACCCCCAUUUUUGUCGAAAAUAGCCAUGAACGACCAUUUUCAAUAAUACCGAAGGCUAACACCUACGGAUUUUUGACCAAGAAAUGGUCUCCACCAGAAAUCCAAGAAUGUGAUCUAUGGCAAGGAAACAUAUGUGGGGUGAGGUGUAUGAGCCUCUGGUCGAUGAUCAAUGGCCACACAACCCCCAUUUUUGUCGAAAAUAGCCAUGAACGACCAUUUUCAAUAAUAUCGAAGGCUAACACCUACGGAUUUUUGACCAAGAAAUGGUCUCCACCAGAAAUCCAAGAAUGUGAUCUACGACAAGGAAACAUAUGUGGGGUGAGGUGUAUGAGCCUCUGGUCGACGAUCAAUGGCCACACAACCCCCAUUUUGCCGAAAAUAGCCAUGAAUGACCAUUUUCAAUAAUAUCGAAGGCUAACACCUACGGAUUUUUGACCAAGAAAUGGUCUCCACCAGAAAUCCAAGAAUGUGAUCUACGACAAGGAAACAUAUGUGGGGUGAGGUGUAUGAGCCUCUGGUCGAUGAUCAAUGGCCACACAACCCCCAUUUUGCCGAAAAUAGCCAUGAAUGACCAUUUUCAAUAAUACCGAAGGCUAACACGUACGAGUUUUUAACCAAGAAAUGGUUUCCACCAGAAAUCCAAGAAUGUAAUCUAUGGCAAGGAAACAUAUGUGGGGUGAGGUUUAUGAGCCUCUAGUCGAUGAUAAAUGGCCACACAACCCCCAUUUUUUAUGAAAAUAGCCAUGAGCGACCUUGAAAAUAGCCAUGAGCGACCAUUUUCAAUAAUACUAGAGGCUAACACCUACGGAUUUUAGACCAAGAAAUGGUCUCCACCAGAAAUCCAAGAAUGUGAUCUAUGGCAAGGAAACAUAUGUGGGGUGAGGUGUAUGAGCGUCUGGUCGAUGAUCAAUGGCCACACAACCCCCAUUUUUGUCGAAAAUAGCCAUGAACGACCAUUUUCAAUAAUACCGAAGGCUAACACCUACGGAUUUUUGACCAAGAAAUGGUCUCCACCAGAAAUCCAAGAAUGUGAUCUAUGGCAAGGAAACAUAUGUGGGGUGAGGUGUAUGAGCCUCUGGUCGAUGAUCAAUGGCCACACAACCUCCAUUUUUGUCGAAAAUAGCCAUGAACGACCAUUUUCAAUAAUAUCGAAGGCUAACACCUACUGAUUUUUGACCAAGAAAUGGUCUCCACCAGAAAUCCAAGAAUGUGAUCUACGACAAGGAAACAUAUGUGGGGUGAGGUGUAUGAGCCUCUGGUCGACGAUCAAUGGCCACACAACCCCCAUUUUGCCGAAAAUAGCCAUGAAUGACCAUUUUCAAUAAUAUCGAAGGCUAACACCUACGGAUUUUUGACCAAGAAAUGGUCUCCACCAGAAAUCCAAGAAUGUGAUCUACGACAAGGAAACAUAUGUGGGGUGAGGUGUAUGAGCCUCUGGUCGACGAUCAAUGGCCACACAACCCCCAUUUUGCCGAAAAUAGCCAUGAAUGACCAUUUUCAAUAAUACCGAAGGCUAACACGUACGAGUUUUUAACCAAGAAAUGGUUUCCACCAGAAAUCCAAGAAUGUAAUCUAUGGCAAUGAAACAUAUGUGGGGUGAGGUUUAUGAGCCUCUAGUCGAUGAUAAAUGGCCACACAACCCCCAUUUUUUAUGAAAAUAGCCAUGAGCGACCUUGAAAAUAGCCAUGAGCGACCAUUUU